GACGAACGCUGGCGGCGCGCCUAACACAUGCAAGUCGAACGGAGCUGAGAGAAGCUUGCUUUUCUUAGCUUAGUGGCGAACGGGUGAGUAACGCGUGAGUAACCUGCCCUUGAGUGGGGGACAACAGUUGGAAACGACUGCUAAUACCGCAUAAGCCCACGAUCCGGCAUCGUAUUGAGGGAAAAGGGUUUAUUCGCUUCAGGAUGGACUCGCGUCCAAUUAGUUAGUUGGUGAGGUAACGGCCCACCAAGGCGACGAUUGGUAGCCGGACGGAGAGGUUGGGCCGCGACAUUUGCGGUGAGACGCAGUCCGGACUCCUACGGGAGGGAGCAGUGGGGGAUAGUGCACAAUGGGGGGAACCCUGAUGGAGCGAGGACGCGAGGAGGAAGAAAGUUGGCGGAUUGUAAAGUCCUGUCGUUAAGGCAGAUAAUGACGGUACCUAAUAAGAAAGCAACGGCUAACUACGUG
rnacentral:rRNA from 1 species